rnacentral:tRNA from 1 species
GAGUAAGGUGGCUGAUAAAAGGCGGGGAAUUGUAAAUUCUUUUAUAAACUUUGUUUUCUUACU